UUAAGCGACUAAGCGUACACGGUGGAUGCCCUGGCAGUCAGAGGCGAUGAAGGACGUGCUAAUCUGCGAUAAGCGUCGGUAAGGUGAUAUGAACCGUUAUAACCGGCGAUUUCCGAAUGGGGAAACCCAGUGUGAUUCGUCACACUAUCAUUAACUGAAUACAUAGGUUAAUGAGGCGAACCGGGGGAACUGAAACAUCUAAGUACCCCGAGGAAAAGAAAUCAACCGAGAUUCCCCCAGUAGCGGCGAGCGAACGGGGAGGAGCCCAGAGCCUGAAUCAGUGUGUGUGUUAGUGGAAGCGUCUGGAAAGGCGCGCGAUACAGGGUGACAGCCCCGUACACAAAAAUGCACAUGCUGUGAGCUCGAUGAGUAGGGCGGGACACGUGGUAUCCUGUCUGAAUAUGGGGGGACCAUCCUCCAAGGCUAAAUACUCCUGACUGACCGAUAGUGAACCAGUACCGUGAGGGAAAGGCGAAAAGAACCCCGGCGAGGGGAGUGAAAAAGAACCUGAAACCGUGUACGUACAAGCAGUGGGAGCCUCUUUAUGGGGUGACUGCGUACCUUUUGUAUAAUGGGUCAGCGACUUAUAUUCUGUAGCAAGGUUAACCGAAUAGGGGAGCCGAAGGGAAACCGAGUCUUAACUGGGCGUUAAGUUGCAGGGUAUAGACCCGAAACCCGGUGAUCUAGCCAUGGGCAGGUUGAAGGUUGGGUAACACUAACUGGAGGACCGAACCGACUAAUGUUGAAAAAUUAGCGGAUGACUUGUGGCUGGGGGUGAAAGGCCAAUCAAACCGGGAGAUAGCUGGUUCUCCCCGAAAGCUAUUUAGGUAGCGCCUCGUGAAUUCAUCUCCGGGGGUAGAGCACUGUUUCGGCAAGGGGGUCAUCCCGACUUACCAACCCGAUGCAAACUGCGAAUACCGGAGAAUGUUAUCACGGGAGACACACGGCGGGUGCUAACGUCCGUCGUGAAGAGGGAAACAACCCAGACCGCCAGCUAAGGUCCCAAAGUCAUGGUUAAGUGGGAAACGAUGUGGGAAGGCCCAGACAGCCAGGAUGUUGGCUUAGAAGCAGCCAUCAUUUAAAGAAAGCGUAAUAGCUCACUGGUCGAGUCGGCCUGCGCGGAAGAUGUAACGGGGCUAAACCAUGCACCGAAGCUGCGGCAGCGACGCUUAUGCGUUGUUGGGUAGGGGAGCGUUCUGUAAGCCUGUGAAGGUGUGCUGUGAGGCAUGCUGGAGGUAUCAGAAGUGCGAAUGCUGACAUAAGUAACGAUAAAGCGGGUGAAAAGCCCGCUCGCCGGAAGACCAAGGGUUCCUGUCCAACGUUAAUCGGGGCAGGGUGAGUCGACCCCUAAGGCGAGGCCGAAAGGCGUAGUCGAUGGGAAACAGGUUAAUAUUCCUGUACUUGGUGUUACUGCGAAGGGGGGACGGAGAAGGCUAUGUUGACCGGGCGACGGUUGUCCCGGUUUAAGCGUGUAGGCUGGUUUUCCAGGCAAAUCCGGAAAAUCAAGGCUGAGGCGUGAUGACGAGGCACUACGGUGCUGAAGCAACAAAUGCCCUGCUUCCAGGAAAAGCCUCUAAGCAUCAGGUAACAUCAAAUCGUACCCCAAACCGACACAGGUGGUCAGGUAGAGAAUACCAAGGCGCUUGAGAGAACUCGGGUGAAGGAACUAGGCAAAAUGGUGCCGUAACUUCGGGAGAAGGCACGCUGAUAUGUAGGUGAAGCGACUUGCUCGUGGAGCUGAAAUCAGUCGAAGAUACCAGCUGGCUGCAACUGUUUAUUAAAAACACAGCACUGUGCAAACACGAAAGUGGACGUAUACGGUGUGACGCCUGCCCGGUGCCGGAAGGUUAAUUGAUGGGGUCAGCGCAAGCGAAGCUCUUGAUCGAAGCCCCGGUAAACGGCGGCCGUAACUAUAACGGUCCUAAGGUAGCGAAAUUCCUUGUCGGGUAAGUUCCGACCUGCACGAAUGGCGUAAUGAUGGCCAGGCUGUCUCCACCCGAGACUCAGUGAAAUUGAACUCGCUGUGAAGAUGCAGUGUACCCGCGGCAAGACGGAAAGACCCCGUGAACCUUUACUAUAGCUUGACACUGAACAUUGAGCCUUGAUGUGUAGGAUAGGUGGGAGGCUUUGAAGUGUGGACGCCAGUCUGCAUGGAGCCGACCUUGAAAUACCACCCUUUAAUGUUUGAUGUUCUAACGUUGACCCGUAAUCCGGGUUGCGGACAGUGUCUGGUGGGUAGUUUGACUGGGGCGGUCUCCUCCUAAAGAGUAACGGAGGAGCACGAAGGUUGGCUAAUCCUGGUCGGACAUCAGGAGGUUAGUGCAAUGGCAUAAGCCAGCUUGACUGCGAGCGUGACGGCGCGAGCAGGUGCGAAAGCAGGUCAUAGUGAUCCGGUGGUUCUGAAUGGAAGGGCCAUCGCUCAACGGAUAAAAGGUACUCCGGGGAUAACAGGCUGAUACCGCCCAAGAGUUCAUAUCGACGGCGGUGUUUGGCACCUCGAUGUCGGCUCAUCACAUCCUGGGGCUGAAGUAGGUCCCAAGGGUAUGGCUGUUCGCCAUUUAAAGUGGUACGCGAGCUGGGUUUAGAACGUCGUGAGACAGUUCGGUCCCUAUCUGCCGUGGGCGCUGGAGAACUGAGGGGUGCUGCUCCUAGUACGAGAGGACCGGAGUGGACGCAUCACUGGUGUUCGGGUUGUCAUGCCAAUGGCACUGCCCGGUAGCUAAAUGCGGAAGAGAUAAGUGCUGAAAGCAUCUAAGCACGAAACUUGCCCCGAGAUGAGUUCUCCCUGACCCUUUAAGGGUCCUGAAGGAACGUUGAAGACGACGACGUUGAUAGGCCGGGUGUGUAAGCGCAGCGAUGCGUUGAGCUAACCGGUACUAAUGAACCGUGAGGCUUAACCUU
rnacentral:rRNA from 1 species